CGCCGCGGUUAUACGAAGGACCCAAGUUGACAGACACCGGCGUAAAGAGUGGUUAUGGAUCAAAUUUACUAAAGUCGAACACCCCCCACACUGUUAUACGCACCCGGGGAAAUGGAAGCCCUACCACGAAAGUGACUUUAACACCCCUCCUGAACCCACGACAACCAUGAAA
rnacentral:rRNA from 1 species